UACAGAGGUCCCGAGCGUUGUUCGGAUUCACUGGGCGUAAAGGGUGCGUAGGUGGUGAGGUAAGUCGGAUGUGAAAUCUCCGGGCUCAACCCGGAAAUGGCAUUGGAAACUACCUUGCUGGAGGAUUUGAGGGGGGAUUGGAAUACUUGGUGUAGCAGUGAAAUGCGUAGAUAUCAAGUGGAACACCAGUGGCGAAGGCGAAUCCCUGGAAAAUACCUGACACUGAGGCACGAAAGCUAGGGGGGCAAACAGG
rnacentral:rRNA from 1 species